GAAUAUGUUAUCUAGAUAUUUAUUCAUUUUUCUUCUGAUAUUUUACCUUAUUCAGGAAAUGUUCUUUUUUUCUCUGCUUGAUUUUUCUCCUUUCCAUUAAUGUUUUUAUAUGUAUACAAUUUUUGUUUUGCAUUAUAGUUAUUAGAUGGUAAAAAAAUCUCAUUUUUAUUUUUCCUCUUCAACAGAAGCUCGAAAACACCUUGACAUAACUGUAUUUAGAAACUUAAACAUUUGCCAUUCUACUAAAGCCUGUAGCAUUGGUAGCAUUAAUGCGAUCAGGGUAACAAACUUUUAUCGGUACGUUUUUGUGAAGUUCUUUUUCGUAGUGAAAAUAACAUGAAGUUACAGAGAGAACAGGUUUCUUUGACCUAACAGCUUUGUAAGCAUGAGCAGGAGACUAUCAGAAACUCAGUUUUGCUCACAUCCAAAUUAGACUACUAACAGGCUUGCUGUGAAAAUUAAAAAUGCUGAUGCACAUAAUGUCUAGCACAUAGCAGUUUCUUGACUAAGGUUAGUCAAAACCUUCUCUGCUCUUCUUUCCUUUCUCUGAUUCCCCUGAAAAUAGAAACUGUUCAUUUCUUGUUGUUGCUGUCUUUGAUAUCCAAGAAUGGUGGAAGUUUACUAGAAUAUACUUGGGAAGAAAUAGAGGUUUAUGUUCUAUUUGAUAAGCCUGCAUUAGUUGAUACCAUAUAAAGUGAUGGCUAAAGCCUCUGCUAUGCAGGAAUGUUACUGAUGUCAUAGACAAUGUUUCUGCAAAGAAAUCAAGUCAAUUUAUCAGGCAUUGAGUGGCCCCUGAAUCCUGUAUAAACCCGUAUGUUAUGUGUGCUUGGAGACACAAGUAAGAACGGGUCAUUUUCCUUGCCCUGAAGGUGCAACUGAUUUCAUGGAGAUAUAAAAUAGGUUAUAAAGUGCCCAUAAAACAGAGCAAAAUAAAAGGAAUGCUAGAGUGAGGUAUAAACCAUGUGCUGUUAGACAGGAGAAAUGAAAAAUUGUUUUGAUAUGAAUUUCAGUGAGAUAUAUUCUAAACAAUUAGAUUUAAAAAAGCAAAAAAAAAAAAAGACCAAAAUUUUCUCAUUGUUCCAAAUUCUCAUUUCAUGACUUUGGCCUGUAAAGGCAGUCUGCAUAUUACAUAAUGUGUCAAGUUUUAGACUAAAGAUGGUACUGUGAAAAACAAAGGAAAAAAGUACUUCUAUCCAAAAAUAUGCUAAUAUAUUGGUAACAGUCACAUAGGUCAGCUGGCUUAUUGGUCCAUACUUUUCUUUUUAAAUCUUAUAUGAGGAAAUCUGUGCCAUCAGACAUGAUUUAUCAUAUCCAAUACAGUGGAAUCAUAGCAAUAGUAGUGAUAAUAGCAGCAGCAGCAGUAGAAAUAGUAGGUGAAUGCUACUUCGUAAGUAAGUCACUGCCUUGGCUGUUUUAUUCAGUUUAUUGUUGAUCUGUUUUAUUUAUAGUUUAUUGAAUUCCAGCAUAUACUUUUGUGCAUUAUAUUUUAUUGAGAUAUAGUUUGUGUACAGCAAACUGCACAGGUGCCUUUUCUUUUUUUUAAAGAUUUUUAUUUUUUCUAUUAUAGUUGAUAUAUAAUGUUCUGUAAUUUCGGCUUUACAGCAAAGUGACUCAGUCAUACACAGACACACAUAUAUAUAUACAUAUACAUAUAUACACACACAUUCUUUUUCUCACAUAAGAACCUUUUCAAUGUGUUGGGGUUUUUUGUUGUUGUUUUGGGGCUCAAUGUGUUUUUCUUUUUUUUCUUUUUUUAUUACUCAAAUGAAUUUAUCGCAUCUGUAGUUGUAUAAUGAUCACAGCAAACUGAUUUCACAGGAUUUCCAUCCCGCAGCCCAAGCACAUCUCCCCACCCCCCAAACUGUCUCCUCAGAGACCAUAAGUUUUUCAAUGUCUGUGAGUCAGCAUCUGUUCUGCAAAGAAGUUCAGUCUGUCCUUUUUUCAGAUUCCACAUAUCAGUGAUAGCAUUUGAUGUUGGUGUCUCAUUGUAUGACUGAUCUCACUUAUCAUGAUAGUUUCUAGUUCCAUCCAUGUUGCUAAAAAUGCCGGUAUUUCAUUCUUUUUAAUGGCUGAGUAAUAUUCCAUUGGUUAUAUGUACCAGAUCUUCUUGAUCCACUCCUCUGUCGAUGGACAAUUAGGUUGUUUCCAUGUUUUGGCUACUGCAAAUAGUGCUGCAAUGAUCACGGAGUACAUGUGUCUUUUCAAGUCAUGGUUUUCUCUGGAUAGAUGCCCAGGAGUGGGAUUGCUGGAUCAAACGUUAGUUCUAUUUUUAGUUUUCUGAGGAACCUCCGUACUGCUUUCCACAGUGGUUGCAACAAUUUACAAUCCUUCAAUCUAAGAUUGACAUCAAGAAUAACACAUUUGGAGUUUCCAUAGUGGUUCAGUGGAAACGAAUCUGACUAGUAACCACAAGGACACAGGUUCAGUCCCUGGCCAGUGGGUUAAGGAUCUGGCACUGCCAUGAGCUGUGGUGUAGGUGGCAGACACAGCGCAGAUCCCAUGUUGCUAUGGCUGUGGCAUAGGCCAGCAGCUACUGCUCCGAUUUGACCCCUAGGCUGGAACCUUCCAUAUGCUGCCAAUGCAGCCCUAAAGAGACCUAAAUAAAUAAAUAAAUAAAUAAAUAAAUGGCACACUUUCAUUAUCCCAGAGAGUUCCUGAACUGACUCUGGAGACAACCAGUGUUCUAAUUUUUUUUACCAUAGAUUAAAUUUUCCUGUUCUGGAGCUUUUUCUAUGGAUACCAUAUGAAUAAAAUUGGUGCUCUUCUAUGUCUGGCUUUAUUUACUCAGCAUAGAGCUUUUGAUAUUCAACCAUAUUUUUAGAAUUCUAGUUGUUUGUUACUUUCUUUAUUUUUGUGUUGUAUUUAGUGAUGCAUUGAUAAAUGUUUAAAUGUUUAAGCUAGAUUUCAAAAAAUCCCCAAAACAAAAUCCCUAAGACAAACAAAACAAGAAAUUCUGAAUGGUAGCCUGAUGUAAACACUCUGAAAGCAGCAAAUUUCAAGCUACCAACAUGUCAUCAGUCAUUUUGAAAAAUUCCUGAAAAUUGCACAGUGAGCUCUUCUGAGCCAGCAUGAGCCUGCUCCAUCUUCCUCUGGUCAUUUUCCAUUGUAUGAAUAUAGUCCAAUUUGCUGGUCAUUUCUACUCUUGAUGUGAAUGUGUGUGUUGUUGCUAUUUCUGCCCUAUUAUGACUACAGCUUCAGUGAAGAUUCUUCUACAAAUCUUGGAUGAACAUGUUUCUAUUACUCUUGUAUAAAUACCUAGGAGUAGAAUUAUUUAGUCUUAGGGUAAGUGUAACUAUAAAUUUAUGAAAAAUAUUGCCA
rnacentral:lncRNA from 1 species